UACGAAGGGGGCUAGCGUUGCUCGGAAUCACUGGGCGUAAAGGGUGCGUAGGCGGGUCUUUAAGUCAGGGGUGAAAUCCUGGAGCUCAACUCCAGAACUGCCUUUGAUACUGAGGAUCUUGAGUUCGGGAGAGGUGAGUGGAACUGCGAGUGUAGAGGUGAAAUUCGUAGAUAUUCGGAAGAACACCAGUGGCGAAGGCGGCUCACUGGCCCGAUACUGACGCUGAGGUGCGAAAGCGUGGGGAGCAAACAGG
rnacentral:rRNA from 1 species